GACGAACGCUGGCGGCGUGCCUAAUACAUGCAAGUCGAGCGGAAGUUGGAGAGCUUGCUCUUCAACUUUAGCGGCGGACGGGUGAGUAACACGUGGGCAACCCGCCCUGCAGAUCGGGAUAACUCCGGGAAACCGGUGCUAAUACCGAAUAGUUUUCGCCACCUCCUGGUGGCGUACGGAAAGACGGUUUCGGCUGUCACUGCAGGAUGGGCCCGCGGCGCAUUAGCUAGUUGGUGGGGUAACGGCCCACCAAGGCAACGAUGCGUAGCCGACCUGAGAGGGUGAUCGGCCACACUGGGACUGAGACACGGCCCAGACUCCUACGGGAGGCAGCAGUAGGGAAUCUUCCGCAAUGGACGAAAGUCUGACGGAGCAACGCCGCGUGAGUGACGAAGGUGUUCGGAUCGUAAAACUCUGUUGUGAGGGAAGAACAAGUACCAACUAACUACUGGUACCUUGACGGUACCUCACCAGAAAGCCACGGCUAACUACGUGCCAGCCGCCGCCGUAA
rnacentral:rRNA from 1 species